GCAGGAGUAGCUCAGCUGGUAGAGCGCCACGUUGCCAACGUGGUUGUCGCGGGUUCGAACCCCGUCUCCUGCUCCA
rnacentral:tRNA from 1 species